AUGUUUCCCCUGCAAAACCCGGGAAUUUUUCUCAAAAAAGUUUCAGGAAUUUCCAUUCCCAAAAAACGGGAAUAUUCCCUUAAAAAUCCCGCGCUUUUAUCAGCCAAUCACUGUGCUUCAUCUCCAAAACCAACCAAUCACCGCGCGCCUCCCCUCAGCAACGCCUGCUUUCCGUUCGCUACUCCAACCAAUCACUGCGCCCCUCCCAAAAACCGGAGGCCCACCAAUCAUGGCGCGGCUCUCCUCAGCAAUUUCCGUCUCACACUACUGAAUCAACCAAUCAACGCACAUCUUCCCUCAGCACCCUCCACCUCUCAUGCAUGUAACGAACCAAUCAGCGCGCAUCUCACCUCUGAAACUCCCUCUUCCCGCCAUAUGAACCAACCAAUCACUGCACGUCUCCCCUCAGCAACUCCCUCUUUUCGCUUUCCGAACCAACCAAUCACCGCGUGUCUCCCCUCAGCACCCUCCUCUUCCCGCCCUCUGAGCCAACCAAUCAGCGCGCGCCUCCCCUCAGCACCCUCCUUUUCCCGCCCUCCGAACCAACCAAUCACUGCGUGUCUCCCCUCAGCACCUUUCUGUUCCCGCCCUCCGAACCAACCAAUCACUGCGUCUCCCAUCAGCACCCUCCUCUUCCCGCCACCUGAACCAACCAAUCACUACACGUCUCCCCUCAGCAACUCCCUCUUUUCGCUCUCCGAACCAACCAAUCAGCGCGCGUCUCCCCUCAGCACCCUCCUCUUCCCGCCGUCCAAACCAACCAAUCACUGCAUGUCUCCCCUCAGCAACUCUCUCUUCCCGCCCUCCAAACCAACCAAUCACUGCGUGCCUCCCCUCAGCACCCUCCUCUUCCCGCCCUCCUCGCCAACCAAUCAGCGCGGGUCCCUUGAAGUGGCUCCUUUUCCACCGGCCGGUGCUGCCCCUGAUCCAGGAUGGACCCCAGUGAGUCCCAAAAAACCCAAAAAUCAGCUCAAAAUCACCCCAAAAACCAAAAAACCCCAAAUCCCCCCCAAAACCCCAAAAUCCCCCCCAAAAAAGGUCGAAGUCCACCAAAAUGCCCCCAAUGCUCCCCUCAGCACCCUCCUUUUCCCGCCCUUCGAGCCAACCAAUCAGCGCGCGUCUCCCUGCUGCACCCUCCUCUUCCCGCCACCUGAACCAACCAAUCACCGCGUGUCUCCCCUCAGCAGCCUCCUGUUCCCGCCCUCGGAAUCAACCAAUCACCGCGUGUCUCCCCUCAGCACCCUCCUCUUCCCGCCCUCCGAACCAACCAAUCACCGCGUGUCUCCCCUCAGCAGCCUCCUGUUCCCGCCCUCGGAACCAACCAAUCACCGCGUCUCUCCCCUCAGCAACUCUCUCUUCCCGCCCUGA
rnacentral:lncRNA from 1 species